CUUUGCAGCUCAAUGGUGGAAGCAGA
rnacentral:snRNA from 1 species